AGAACGAACGCUGGCGGCAGGCUUAACACAUGCAAGUCGAGCGCCCUGCAAGGGGAGCGGCGGACGGGUGAGUAACACGUGGGAACAUGCCCUUUGGUUCGGAACAACUCAGGGAAACUUGAGCUAAUACCGAAUGUGCCGGUAACGGGAAAGAUUUAUCGCCAAGGGAUUGGCCCGCGUCCGAUUAGCUAGUUGGUGAGGUAAAGGCUCACCAAGGCUCCGAUCGGUAGCUGGUUUGAGAGAACGACCAGCCACACUGGGACUGAGACACGGCCCCAGACUCCUACGGGAGGCAGCAGUGGGGAAUCUUGGACAAUGGGGGAAACCCUGAUCCAGCCAUGCCGCGUGAGUGAUGAAGGCCUUCGGGUUGUAAAACUCUUUCGACGGGGACGAUAAUGACGGUACCCGUAGAAGAAGCUCCGGCUAACUUCGUGCCAGCAGCCGC
rnacentral:rRNA from 1 species